UACGGGGGGGGGCAAGCGUUGUUCGGAAUUACUGGGCGUAAAGGGCUCGUAGGUUGCCAACUAAGUCAGACGUGAAAUCCCUCAGCUUAACUGGGGAACUGCGUCUGAUACUGGAUGGCUUGAGUUUGGGAGAGGGAUGCGGAAUUCCAGGUGUAGCGGUGAAAUGCGUAGAUAUCUGGAGGAACACCGGUGGCGAAGGCGGCAUCCUGGACCAACACUGACACUGAGGAGCGAAAGCCAGGGGAGCAAACGGG
rnacentral:rRNA from 1 species